rnacentral:rRNA from 1 species
GAUGAACGCUGGCGGCGUGCCUAAUACAUGCAAGUCGAGCGAACGGACGAGAAGCUUGCUUCUCUGAUGUUAGCGGCGGACGGGUGAGUAACACGUGGAUAACCUACCUAUAAGACUGGGAUAACUUCGGGAAACCGGAGCUAAUACCGGAUAAUAUUUUGAACCGCAUGGUUCAAAAGUAAAAGACGGUCUUGCUGUCACUUAUAGAUGGAUCCGCGCUGCAUUAGCUAGUUGGUAAGGUAACGGCUUACCAAGGCAACGAUGCAUAGCCGACCUGAGAGGGUGAUCGGCCACACUGGAACUGAGACACGGUCCAGACUCCUACGGGAGGCAGCAGUAGGGAAUCUUCAGCAAUGGGCGAAAGCCUGACGGAGCAACGCCGCGUGAGUGAUGAAGGUCUUCGGAUCGUAAAACUCUGUUAUUAGGGAAGAACAUAUGUGUAAGUAACUGUGCACAUCUUGACGGUACCUAAUCAGAAAGCCACGGCUAACUACGUG